CCCGGCCAAUGCAAAGAGAACUUUUA
rnacentral:piRNA from 1 species